GAUGAACGCUGGCGGCGUGCCUAAUACAUGCAAGUCGAGCGAACAGAUGAGGAGCUGGCGCCCCUGAGGGUGGCGGGGGACGGGAGAGUAACACGUGGAUAACCUACCUAUAAGACUGGGAUAAUAACGGGAAACAGUAGCUACUACCGGAUAAUAUAUCGAACCGGAUGGGUCAAUAGUGAAAGACGGUUUUGGUGUCAGUAAUAGAUGAAUCCGCGCCGGAUCAGCUGGUUGGUAAGGUGACGGCUUAGCAAGGCAACGAUGCUUAGCCGACCUGAGAGGGUGAUCGGCCACACUGUCACUGAGACACGGUCCAGACUCCUACGGGAGGCCGCAGUAGGGACUCUUCCGCAAUGGGCGAAAGCUUGACGUAGCACCACCGCGUGAGUGAUGAAGGUCUUCUGAUCGUAAAGCUCUGUUAUUAGGAGAGAACAAAUGUGUAAUUAACCAUGCACGUCUUGACGGUACCUAGAGAGUAAGCCCCGGCUAACUCCGUG
rnacentral:rRNA from 1 species